UGCAGUUGCCCGGUGGCUAGCUUCAUUGCCCGCACAUUGCUGCCGGUCAUACCGUCGGACUUACUCGCACUCGCAUACGAGGGAACUUCUAAAGCCCGAAAAGUCACUGGCCGAAGUUGGUAAGAAAGGAAACCUGCGAGAUCUUCGUCCAUUUACUAUUGUUUGUACGCUCCCCAAGGAGAAAGGAGCCGCUGAGAGGGGCGGCCCAAGGGCUAAUAGCCCUACUCUCGGAGCACGUGGAAUAUGGACAUGGGCACCCUGUCACAUUCGUUGCCGAAGAGUUUCGAUUUAAGUCUUCACAGCAAAAGUAGUGCGGUACCUGCAAAAACGACGCUAAAUACGUCCAGCACCGCGGUAUACGUAUUCGCGAGCGUACCGGAAUUUUGGAUAAAGGGCAUCUAGCGGCCGACAAGUCCGGGGGAAAACCUCGCUCCACCGCAGGCCUGCCUUUAAACUGUAAGGCUGGAGUUCGGAGAGUGGACGGAACUGCACGAGAGAGGUGAAAUUCGUAGAUAUUGCCGGAAUGCCGAUGAUGAAGAUAUCCACUGGACGGAAACUGACGCUGAAGUGCGAAAGCCGGGGGAGCGAACAGG
rnacentral:rRNA from 1 species